rnacentral:rRNA from 1 species
GUGGUCAAGCUAUUAAGGGCGCAUGGGGGAUGUCUUGGCGUUAGGAGGCUUUGAAGGGCGCGGAAGACUGCGAUAAGCCUGGGGGAACCGUCAAACAGGUGAUGAUCCCGGGAUUCCUGAACAGACAUGAACUGAAUUCAUAGGUUCAUGUGGCGAACGCGGAGAACUGAAACAUCUCAGUAUCCGCAGGAAGAGAAAGAAAAAUCGAUUUCCUCAGUAGCGGCGAGCGAAAGGGAAAUAGCCCAAACCGCGGUGGUUUCCACUGCGGGGUUGUAGGGCCCUCCACAGGAGUUAUCAAACAAUCAGUUAGCAGAAUGAUCUGGAAAGGUCGUCCACAGAGGGUGACAGGCCCGUAUGCGAAAACUAAUUGUCUCCGGAGGGUACCCUGAGUAGGUCGAGUCACGUGGAACCUCGACUGAAUCAACGGGGACCAUCCCGUAAGGCUAAAUACUACCUAACGACCGAUAGUAAACUAGUAGAGCGAUCGAAAGAUGAGAAGAACCCCUGUUAGGGGAGGAAUGUGAACCUGAAACCAUGUGCCUACAAGCGGUCGGAGCGCUAUGGCGGGUAACCGCAAUGCGUGACGGCGUGCCUUUUGCAUAAUGAUCCGGCGAGUUACCGUCAGCGGCUCGGUUAAGGUCCUCAGGACCGUAGCCACAGGGAAACCGAGUCUGAAUAGGGCGACACAUGUCGCUGGUGGUAGACGCGAAACUGCACGAACUACCCAUGAGCAGGUUGAACCGCGGGUCAAACCGCGUGGAGGACCGAACCCACUUGGGUUGAAAACCGAGGGGAUGACUUGUGGGGAGGAGUGAAAGUCUAAUCAAGCGCAGAGAUAGCUCGUUCUCUCCGAAAUAGCUUUAGGGCUAGCCUCGGACCAUUACAUGAUGGGGGUAGAGAGACUGAAUUGGAUAAGGGCGCUUCCCGCGUACCUUGCCGAACCAAACUCCGAAUACCGUCAUGUUUACUCCGGGAGUCAGUCCGCGAGGGAUAAGCUUCGCGGUCAAAAGGGAAACAACCCAGACCACCUGCUAAGGUCCCCAAGCAGAACUCAGUCACUAAGGAAGUCGAGUUGCAGUGACAGCCAGGAUGUUGGCUUAGAAGCAGCCAUCAUUUAAAAAGUGCGUAACAGCUUACUGGUCGAGCAACUCAGCGCCGAUAAUGAACGGGAGUAAGUUCUGCACCGAAGCAGUGGAAUCCACUUUUGUGGAUUGGUAGGAGAGCGCUGUACGUCAGAUACAAGUCGCACCGUAAGGAGCGAUGCCGGGGCGUACAGGUGAUUAUGCCGGAAUGAGUAACGAUUAAGCAGGUGAGAAUCCUGCUCGCCGAAAGCCUAAGGUUUCCUGGGGAAGGUAAAUCCGCCCAGGGUUAGCCGGUUCCUUAGUCGAGGCCGAA